rnacentral:rRNA from 1 species
UACGGGGGGGGCAAGCGUUGUUCGGAAUUACUGGGCGUAAAGGGCUCGUAGGCGGCCAACUAAGUCAGACGUGAAAUCCCUCGGCUUAACCGGGGAACUGCGUCUGAUACUGGAUGGCUUGAGAUUGGGAGAGGGAUGCGGAAUUCCAGGUGUAGCGGUGAAAUGCGUAGAGAUCCGGAGGAACACCGACGGCGUAGGCAGCGCCCUAGACGAGACCUGACGCUCAGGCACGAAAGCGCGGGGAGCGAACAGG